GAGAAGACGAAGAAGGAUCGACAAAUAAACGAUUGGCUUUUCGUAUUUCUGGAUCUGAUGGUGAUGUGCAAGUGAGGAAGAAGCUUUAUGUGCCGCAAGUGGAGGACAAGAAUAGUCACAUGAGAAUGCUCAACAUCUCUUGUGUUGAUGAUCUGGUUGUGAAUUCGAUGGAUAUUUUAAAAGCAGCUGCGGUGGAUGCUGAUGGAAAUGAAUGCGAAGACGUUUUACAGGCAAGGUGAUGAAGUUGAUUUGUUCCUCUAACCAGCAAAUCAUGCUCAAGUGAGGGAGGCAGAUCAAGCAGAAACACAAGCAAUGCAACUUGCAGAGUGAGUUGAUGGCUGCGAAGUCUACUGGAGAUCAACAAUGAGGAGUUAGAGAUAGUCAAAGCUGGUGCAGCUCAGCAAAAUGAAGAGUUAGAGGCAGUGAAGGCUAGAGCCGCUGCACAAAAUGAAGAGUUGGAGGCACUAAAGGCAAGACAAAAUCAUACCGACAUACUUUUACUUAAAUUGAUGGUGUCGUUAUCCUCCCAAAA